rnacentral:rRNA from 1 species
AAUCAACGCUGGCGGCGUGCCUAACACAUGCAAGUCGCACGAGAAAGGGGAGCAAUCCCUGAGUAAAGUGGCGCACGGGUGAGUAACACGUGAAUCAUCUACCUCCGAGUGGGGAAUAACUGAGAGAAAUCUUAGCUAAUACCGCAUAACACUUACGAGUCAAAGCAGCAAUGCGCUUGGAGAGGAGUUCGCGGCCGAUUAGUUAGUUGGCGGGGUAAGGCCCACCAAGACGAUGAUCGGUAUCCGGCCUGAGAGGGCGCACGGACACACUGGAACUGAAACACGGUCCAGACUCCUACGGGAGGCAGCAGUGGGGAAUUUUGCGCAAUGGGGGAAACCCUGACGCAGCAACG